GGGACGUAGCUCAAUUGGGAGAGCGACGGCUUUGCAAGCCGUAGGUUGCCGGUUCGAUCCCGGUCGUCUCC
rnacentral:tRNA from 1 species